AAGGCUGGAAGAAAGUGUGUGAGCUGAUCCAGUGUAUCCAGUCAGUCCAGCAGCAUGGAUCAGUGGGAGGACACACAGGAGGGAGCCCCUCCCUUGAAAAAAACAAGAGGUGGUAACCAUGACAACCAGAGCAAAGCUCAGCGUCUUUACAGGAACCAACCUGGACAUGGAUCUGGACCUGGUCCUGGAUCUGGAUCCAGCUGUGUGUCCUUGAGGACUGACAUAUCAAAGGAUUUACCUCUAAACUUCAAGUCCACCAGUCCAGGAGUGUACCAAGGUCAACAGGUCACACAGAGAGUCCAGUCUGCAGCAUCC